UACCGAGGGUGCAAGCGUUGUUCGGAAUUAUUGGGCGUAAAGCGCGUGUAGGCGGCUUGUUAAGUCGGGUGUGAAAGCCCUCAGCUCAACUGAGGAAGUGCGCCCGAAACUGGCGAGCUUGAGUGUCGGAGAGGAUGGCGGAAUACCCCAAGUAGAGGUGAAAUUCGUAGAUAUGGGGUGGAACACCGGUGGCGAAGGCGGCCAUCUGGACGACAACUGACGCUGAGACGCGAAAGCGUGGGGAGCAAACAGG
rnacentral:rRNA from 1 species